rnacentral:ncRNA from 1 species
CCCGCUAAGUUUAAGCAUAUCAAUAAUCGGAGGAAAAGAAACUUACUAGGAUUCCAUUAGUAACAGUGAGCUAACCAGGAAGAGCCCAGCUUGAGAAUCGGGUGACCUCGGUGUCUAAAUUGUAGUCUGGAGAAGCGCCCUCAGCGUCGGACCAGGCCUAAAUCCCCUGGAAGGGGGCGCCCCCCUUCUUGCUCGGACCCUGUAGCACCACGAGGAGUUGCCGGUGAGUCGGGUUGUUUGGGAAUGCAAGCCAAAUCAGGCGGUAAAUUCCUUCCAAGGCUAAAUACGGGCGAGAGACCGAUAGCAAACAAGUACCGCGAGGGAAAGAUGAAAAGGAGUAUGAAAAUAGAGUCAAAGAGUGCUUGAAAUUGCCAGGAGGGAAAUGGAUAGGGGCCGGCGAUGCACCCGGGUUGGAUGCGGAACGGUGAGAGUAGGUCCGCCGAUCGACUUGGUGGGUGGACCGAUGAGGAUUGCGGUGGCGGCCCAAGCCCGGGCCUUGGAUACUCUCGUGGAGAUGUCUUCGCCACGAUGGUGGCUGGCAGCGUGCGCCGUUUGGUGUGCCUUGGCACUUGCCCGCUCCUUGCAUAGGCCUGUGGGCUCCCCAUUCGGCCCAUCUUAAAACACGG